GACGAACGCUGGCGGCGUGCUUAACACAUGCAAGUCGAACGGAAAGGCCCUGCUUUUGUGGGGUGCUCGAGUGGCGAACGGGUGAGUAACACGUGAGUAACCUGCCCUUGACUUUGGGAUAACUUCAGGAAACUGGGGCUAAUAUCGGAUAGGAGCUCCUGCUGCAUGGUGGGGGUUGGAAAGUUUCGGCGGUUGGGGAUGGACUCGCGGCUUAUCAGCUUGUUGGUGGGGUAGUGGCUUACCAAGGCUUUGACGGGUAGCCGGCCUGAGAGGGUGACCGGCGACAUUGGGCCUGCGAGACGGCCCAGACUCCUACGGUAGGCAGCAGUGGGGAAUAUUGCGCAAUGGGCGGAAGCCUGAUGCAGCAACGCCGCGUGCGGGAUGACGGCCUUCGGGUUGUAAACCGCUUUCGCCUGUGACGAAGCGUGAGUGACGGUAAUGGGUAAAGAAGCACCGGCUAACUACGUG
rnacentral:rRNA from 1 species